AUUUUUUAUUUUUUGCUAGUUACACUAAAGUAGUGUUCUAUCAAUAUAUUGUCAAUAUAUUCCAGAAGUGACCUGAAUAAGGAGAUGAAGUAUAAUAUACUUGAUCCACUUUUCAUGUCUCUAGAAGGCUGCCCCCUUCAGAAAAACGUUUCCUGUUUUUGGCUACAAUCAUUUUUUUCUCUCAAAAUUAGUUAUCCUGCAGAAACCAUGAACCUUUAAGAGAUAUGUACAUUAUAGCAAAUGUAAAUUUAUUUCACUCACCUGCCCUCUCCCAGUUUCUGCUCACACCUUCUUCUGAAGUUGCCUAGACACUUUAACUAUGAACAAAUAGGUGGAAUAUAUAUUAAUGCAAGCCGCUGAUGGUGGAAUCUCAUGUCGUGAGAAUUUGAGAUUGAAAGAGAUCCGCUUUAAAAAGGUCCAACACAAUUUUUCAUGAUAUAUUACAUUACAAUGUGUCAGUACUAAAAUAUUGAAUAGUACAAAGCAAUAUUCUCAUUAUCAUUAUAAGACACAUUGUACUAAACUAAUCCAAAAUUGUAGGUAGUGAUCUUGUAUCUGUACGCAGCUUAGAACUACAUUAGUAUAUGUAUUAAAACAUGGUUUCUAUACAAAGACAAGUCUAAAUAAUAUAGUUUGUACAUAAUACAGA